GAGCCUGCAUUUCCAGCUUAUUCGAGGAC
rnacentral:piRNA from 1 species